AAGUCGUAACAAGGUUUCCGUAGGUGAACCUGCGGAAGGAUCAUUAAGGUGGAGCUGAGGCGAGAAAGCUGAAGCGCAUGAAUGAAGCGUGUGGACCAGCAACGGCACACACGUGAUGGCCAGUGUUGACAUGAUGUAUGUGGCAGUGUCAUGUGAGCAGUCACAUGCCUGCCAGUGAAUAGUAACCAUCUCAAUCACAAUCACCACCGAGUCACUCCAUAACAUCACACAACUGUUGGCAACGGAUCACUCGGCUCUC
rnacentral:misc_RNA from 1 species